AGAGUUUGAUCCUGGCUCAGGACGAACGCUGGCGGCGUGGAUUAGGCAUGCAAGUCGAACGGUAGAUACUCCUUCGGGGGUAUUGAGAGUGGCGAACGGGUGAGUAACACGUAGAUGAUCUACCCUCAAAUGGGGGACAACCCAGGGAAACUUGGGCUAAUACCGCAUGAGUGCAGCGCAUAAAUUAUCUUUUGCUGGGUAAUUUAUGCGCUGUAUAAAAGAUGGCUUUCGGGCUGUCGUUUGGGGAUGAGUCUGCGUCCUAUUAGUUAGUUGGUGAGGUAAUGGCUCACCAAGGCGAUGAUAGGUAGGCGGCCUUAACGGGUGGCCGCCCACACUGGGAUUGAGAUACGGCCCAGACUCCUACGGGAGGCAGCAGUCGAGAAUAGUCUACAAUGGACGAAAGUCUGAUAGUGCGACGCCGCGUGAACGAAGAAUCCCUUCGGGGUGUAAAGUUCUUUUAUAUGUGAGCAAUGCUUUUUAUGUGAAUAGCAUGAGAAGAGAGAUAUUAGCAUAUGAAUAAGCAACGGCUAACUCCGUGCCAGCAGCCGCGGUAACACGGGGGUUGCAAGCGUUGUCCGGAAUUACUAGGCGUAAAGGGCAGGUAGGCGGAUCCAUAAGUUUGAUGUUAAAGGCAGCGGCUCACCCGCUGUACGGCGUCAGAUACUGUGGAUCUGGAAUGCGGUUGGGGAAGACAGAAUUCCUGGUGUAGCGGUGGAAUGCGCAGAGAUCAGGAGGAAUACCAAAGGCGAAGGCAGUCUUCUAAGCCGUUAUUGACGCUAAACUGCGAAGGUGUGGGUAUCAAACAGGAUUAGAUACCCUGGUAGUCCACACAGUAAACGAUAAUCACUAGGUGUCGGGUUCGUAGAGAAUUCGGUGCCGUAGCUAACGCGAUAAGUGAUUCGCCUGGGGAGUACGAUCGCAAGGUUGAAACUCAAAGGAAUUGACGGGGGCCCG
rnacentral:rRNA from 1 species